rnacentral:rRNA from 1 species
GGGGAACCAGGACUUUUACUGUGAAAAAAUUAGAGUGCUCCAGGCAGGCCUAUGCUCGAAUACAUUAGCAUGGAAUAAUAGAAUAGGACGUGUGGUUCUAUUUUGUUGGUUUCUAGGACCGCCGUAAUGAUUAAUAGGGACAGUCGGGGGCAUCAGUAUUCAAUUGUCAGAGGUGAAAUUCUUGGAUUUAUUGAAGACUAACUACUGCGAAAGCAUUUGCCAAGGAUGUUUUCAUUAAUCAGGAACGAAAGUUAGGGGAUCGAAGACGAUCAGAUACCGUCGUAGUCUUAACCAUAAACUAUGCCGACUAGGGAUCGGACGGUGUUAUUUUUUGACCCGUUCGGCACCUUACGAGAAAUCAAAGUGCUUGGGCUCCAGGGGGAGUAUGGUCGCAAGGCUGAAACUUAAAGAAAUUGACGGAAGGGCACCACCAGGGGUGGAGCCUGCGGCUUAAUUUGACCCAACACGGGGAAACUCACCAGGUCCAGACACAAUGAGGAUUGACAGAUUGAGAGCUCCUUCUUGAUUUUGUGGGUGGUGGUGCAUGGCCGUUCUUAGUUGGUGGAGUGAUUUGUCUGCUUAAUUGCGAUAACGAACGAGACCU